GAUGAAGAACAUAGCGAAAUGCGAUAAGUAAUGUGAAUUGCAGAAUUCAGUGAAUCAUCGAAUCUUUGAACGCACAUUGCGCCCGCCAGUAUUCUGGCGGGCAUGCCUGUCUGAGCGUCAUUUCAACCCUCAUGCCCCUAGGGCGUGGUGUUGGGGAUCGGCCAAAGCCCGCGAGGGACGGCCGGCCCCUAAAUCUAGUGGCGGACCCGUCGUGGCCUCCUCUGCGAAGUAGUGAUAUUCCGCAUCGGAGAGCGAUGAGCCCCUGCCGUUAAACCCCCAACUUUCCAAGGUUGACCUCAGAUCAGGUAGGAAUACCCGCUGAACUUAAGCAUAUCAAUAAGCGGAGG
rnacentral:misc_RNA from 1 species